CCCUUAGAUGUUCGGGGCCGCACGCGCGCUACACUGAAGGAAUCAGCACGUCUUUCUCCUUGUCCGAAAGGACUGGGUAACCCGCUGAACCUCCUUCGUGCUAGGGAUUGGGGCUUGUAAUUCUUCCCCAUGAACGAGGAAUUCCCAGUAAGCGCGAGUCAUAAGCUCGCGUUGAUUACGUCCCUGCCCUUUGUACACACCGCCCGUCGCUACUACCGAUUGGAUGGUUUAGUGAGAUCCUCGGAUUGGUCCCGGCGCGGCCUCUGGUCGUGCCGGAGUGCCGAAAAGAAUGUCGAACUUGAUCAUCUAGAGGAAGUAGAAGUCGUAACA
rnacentral:rRNA from 1 species